rnacentral:piRNA from 1 species
UGGAAUGGAAACAUUUAUCCAAUGCGUGUAC